AUAACCAAUCUUAAAACAACUGUUCAAUCAUUUUUUCAAAAUAAGUCUUUAACACGAAUUUUAAAUUUUGAGUUUCAUCUUAAAAAAUGUCUAACAUCUAUUAUCUUACGACUAAAAGAAAUUCACCAUUUACUUAAAAUGUCCACUUUCUGUUGGGCAGUCAGUAAGACUAAAUCAACCCACCGAUCUUCAUUCCUUCACUAUUUUGCAAGCUUUUCUACCAAGACAAUAGCAAAAGUGGUCAUAAAAACAUCAACUUAAGAAACUAAAAAUUUUAACCAAACGCUAAAAAAAAUUGGUCACAAUACAUAGGGGGGAAAACAUUCCUAUAAUAAAAUUAAAUAACACAUUAAAAAAAGUUUCUAAAAUAAAACUCCUAAUGCACUGCAAUUGCAAAUCCAAGUGAAGUCCAUACACACAAGCAUUGAGAGACAUUAUUGAUGAGCAACAACUGCCUUGAUACAUCCAAACAUGCCCUGCACUUUUGUUGCCACCUGGUGGUAGGAGGCAAACGUUUACAGCACUGGGCAUUUUUGAGUAUUCAGCUCUCUGCAAAAAAACCAGAGUCUACAGUCUAGUUCAUAUUGUAUAAUAUGAAACCUGAGCUCUAGACGCGUUACUUUUACAAAUGAGUCGGGGAGGUUUUAGAGGUAUUACACAAACAGCAGCAUUUCCCCAACAACUAUCUAAAAUUACCCAUAAGCCACUGUCCCAACAAUCUGUUCUGAAGCAAAAAAGAAAAGCAGAUGGAUUCAGGGAUAGACUGCGGGCGCAGUGGAGGAGCUCCACACACACACACACACUUGACGUCAUUCGACUACAUUACAGUACAUUUCUGAUAAACGAUUGGGUUCAGUCUAUAUACACCAGCCCAGUAAACUGAGAGCCAGUUGAGGUAAUGAAAUAUUGGAAAAAAAAAAAUAAAAUAAAAAUUUCCGACACU